rnacentral:rRNA from 1 species
UGGGGAAUAUUGGGCAAUGGGCGCAAGCCUGACCCAGCAACGCCGCGUGAAGGAAGAAGGUUUUCGGAUUGUAAACUUCUGUCCUCAGUGACGAAGGAAGUGACGGUACCAUAGGAGGAAGCCCCGGCUAACUACGUGCCAGCAGCCGCGGUAAUACGUAGGGGGCGAGCGUUGUCCGGAAUGAUUGGGCGUAAAGGGCGCGUAGGCGGCCUGGUAAGUCUGGAGUGAAAGUCCUGCUUUUAAGGUGGGAAUUGCUUUGGAUACUGCUGGGCUUGAGUGCAGGAGAGGAAAGCGGAAUUACCGGUGUAGCGGUGAAAUGCGUAGAGAUCGGUAGGAACACCAGUGGCGAAGGCGGCUUUCUGGACUGAAACUGACGCUGAGGCGCGAAAGCGUGGGGAGCAAACAGGAUUAGAUACCCUGGUAGU